rnacentral:rRNA from 1 species
AUAACACUGAGAAAUUGGUACUAAUACCCCAUAAUAUCUCAUGCGGCAUCGCAUGGGGUUGAAAACUCCGGUGGUUGAUGAUGGGCAUGCGUUGUAUUAGCUGGUUGGUGAGGUAACGGCUCACCAAGGCGACGAUACAUAGGGGGACUGAGAGGUUAACCCCCCACAUUGGUACUGAGACACGGACCAAACUCCUACGGGAGGCAGCAGUGAGGAAUAUUGGUCAAUGGACGCAAGUCUGAACCAGCCAUGCCGCGUGCAGGAUGACGGCUCUAUGAGUUGUAAACUGCUUUUGUACGAGGGUAAACCCCGAUACGUGUAUCGGGUUGAAAGUAUCGUACGAAUAAGGAUCGGCUAACUCCGUGCCAGCAGCCGCGGUAAUACGGAGGAUCCGAGCGUUAUCCGGAUUUAUUGGGUUUAAAGGGUGCGUAGGCGGUUUGAUAAGUUAGAGGUGAAAUGUCGGGGCUCAACCCCGAAACUGCCUCUAAUACUGUUGGACUAGAGAAUAGUUGCGGUAGGCGGAAUGUAUGGUGUAGCGGUGAAAUGCUUAGAGAUCAUACAGAACACCGAUUGCGAAGGCAGCUUACCAAACUAUAUCUGACGUUGAGGCACGAAAGCGUGGGUAGCAAACAGGAUUAGAUACCCUGGUAGUCCACGCAGUAAACGAUGAUAACUCGUUGUCGGCGAUACACAGUCGGUG